UGGCUGGAUAGGCCUCUGGCCAUCCUGAAAACAUGUCUGCUAUAAUUAGUGCAUAUUUGAAUAAGCCAUUCUUUGGCAUUCUGUCGACUUGACUCCUCUGGAAGAGAUAAUGAGGUUUGGCUAGAUGCUUGGGGCUUUCCUCCAUUCUUCCUGAGUUGCCCUUGGCACAAAUGGCACAAGAUUUACAGUAACUGUUGGUCAGAGAGGCAAUUCCUGGUACUUCAGAGUAUUUAUUGAUCAAAAGAGUUCAUGAGGGUUCUGGACAGAUGCUCCGUAGGCCCACUGGACCACUGCUGAGUAUAUGUUCUUGGGCAAGUAGAACUUGAGAUUGUUGAAGUACAGCCUGUCUUUAAGAGUUGCCCCUUUCUUUUCAGGGUCAGUAGCUUGCUUGUUAUUCCUUCGGGAGCUUGAUGUCUGUGGGUAGGAUCUUACAUGGUGAAUAUGGGAGUUUCUUCAGCAGACACUUUUCUGUCCACUUCCCUUAGUGCACUUACAACUUCUUGAACAACUUAGUCAGCCAGAGAGCUGCCACAUGCUUCCUCUGAGUUCAGUCUUCCUUCAGAGAUCUUGCAUG